CCUACGGGUGGCAGCAGUAGGGAAUAUUGCUCAAUGGGCGAAACCCUGAAGCAGCAACGUCGCGUGGAGGAUGACGGUUUUCUGAUUUUAAAAUCUUUUUGUUAGAGGAGAUAAUGACGUUAUGUAUAGAGUAAGCACCGUCUCACACCGUGCCAGCAGCCGUGGUAACACGGGGGGAGCAAGGGUUAUUCGGAAUAACUGGGCGUUAACAGGGUGUAGGCGGGAUAGCUAGGCUGAUGGGAAAUUCUUGGGUUUACACUUAAAACUGCAUUUGAUACUGUAGUUCUAGAGUAUGGGAGAGGUAGGUGGAAUGAUUUGUGUAGUGGUAAAAUCCGUAGAUAUCA
rnacentral:rRNA from 1 species